CCUACGGUAGGCAGCAGUGGGGACUAUUUGGCACUGAGCGCAAGCCUGACCCAGCAACGCCGCGUGAAGGAAGCAGGCUUUCGGGUUGUAAACUUCUUUUGUCAGGGACGGGUAGAAGACGGUACCUGACGAAUAAGCCACGGCUAACUACGUGCCAGCAGCCGCGGUAAUACGUAGGUGGCAAGCGUUGUCCGGAUUUACUGGGUGUAAAGGGCGUGUAGCCGGGUUGACAAGUCAGAUGUUAAAUCCUUCGGCUUAACCGCAGAACUGCAUUUGAAACUGUUGAUCUUGAGUACUGGAGAGGGAGAUGGAAUUCCUAGUGGAGCGGUGAAAUGCGUAGAUAUUAGGAGGAACACC
rnacentral:rRNA from 1 species